AUUGAACGCUGGCGGCAUGCCUUACACAUGCAAGUCGAACGGCAGCAUGAUCUCGCUUGCUAGAUUGAUGGCGAGUGGCGAACGGGUGAGUCAUACAUCGGAACUUGCCCUGUAGUGGGGGAUAACUAGUCGAAAGAUUAGCUAAUACCGCAUACGACCUGAGGGUGAAAGUGGGGGACCGCAAGGCCUCAUGCUAUAGGAGCGGCCGAUGUCUGAUUAGCUAGUUGGUGAGGUAAAGGCUCACCAAGGCGACGAUCAGUAGCUGGUCUGAGAGGACGAUCAGCCACACUGGGACUGAGACACGGCCCAGACUCCUACGGGAGGCAGCAGUGGGGAAUUUUGGACAAUGGGCGAAAGCCUGAUCCAGCAAUGCCGCGUGUGUGAAGAAGGCCUUCGGGUUGUAAAGCACUUUUGUCCGGAAAGAAAUGGCUCUGGUUAAUACCUGGGGUCGAUGACGGUACCGGAAGAAUAAGGACCGGCUAACUACGUG
rnacentral:rRNA from 1 species